rnacentral:rRNA from 1 species
ACGGAAGGCAGCAGUGGGGAAUAUUGCACAAUGGGGGAAACCCUGAUGCAGCAACGCCGCGUGAGUGAAGAAGUAUUUCGGUAUGUAAAGCUCUAUCAGCAGGGAAGAUAAUGACGGUACCUGACUAAGAAGCUCCGGCUAAAUACGUGCCAGCAGCCGCGGUAAUACGUAUGGAGCAAGCGUUAUCCGGAUUUACUGGGUGUAAAGGGUGCGUAGGCGGCGAAGUAAGUCAGAAGUGAAAGACCGGGGCUCAACUCCGGGGCUGCUUUUGAAACUGCAUUGCUGGAGUCCAGGAGAGGCAGGCGGAAUUCCUAGUGUAGCGGUGAAAUGCGUAGAUAUUAGGAAGAACACCGGUGGCGAAGGCGGCCUGCUGGACUGGUACUGACGCUGAGGCACGAAAGCGUGGGGAGCAAACAGGAUUAGAUACCCUGGUA